GUGCUUUCUAUUGCAUUGUAGCAUUGUUCAUCCCAAGUUGUGCUGUUGCAGAUGAUGUGUGAUGAAGAUAGGAUUGUGCUGAUGUGCAUAUAUGAAAAACUCAGUUCGCAAAAGGAAUGAAGAAUGACAACUCUUAUUAAGAGAAUUCUGUUGAACUUAAGAUCUGGAUCCCAACUUUGACAGUUAAAGAAUGCAACUCUGAGAAAAGAGCUCGACGGUCAUUGGAGUCUCAGGAUAUUUAUCAAACAGUAACAUCUCAUACUGAAGUGCUUCAAUAUAUUUUGCUAAUAGGUACCUUUAAAAAAUUAUGAGAGUGCAGUUUUUGCAAGCGCUUGAACUUUGAGAUCUAUAACUCAGGAAGGCUGCAGAGUGGGAAGAGUGUAGGCAUGAUUAAUAAAAUGGAUUUGAAGCAAUAAUUAAUUUUUAUU
rnacentral:lncRNA from 1 species